AGUGAGCGCUGGCGGUAGGCCUAACACAUGCAAGUCGAACGGCAGCACAGUAAGAGCUUGCUCUUACGGGUGGCGAGUGGCGGACGGGUGAGGAAUAAAUCGGAAUCUACUUUUUCGUGGGGGAUAACGUAGGGAAACUUACGCUAAUACCGCAUACGACCUACGGGUGAAAGCAGGGGAUCUUCGGACCUUGCGCGAUUGAAUGAGCCGAUGUCGGAUUAGCUAGUUGGCGGGGUAAAGGCCCACCAAGGCGACGAUCCGUAGCUGGUCUGAGAGGAUGAUCAGCCACACUGGAACUGAGACACGGUCCAGACUCCUACGGGAGGCAGCAGUGGGGAAUAUUGGACAAUGGGCGCAAGCCUGAUCCAGCCAUACCGCGUGGGUGAAGAAGGCCUUCGGGUUGUAAAGCCCUUUUGUUGGGAAAGAAAAGCAGCAGGUUAAUACCCCGCUGUUCUGACGGUACCCAAAGAAUAAGCACCGGCUAACUUCGUG
rnacentral:rRNA from 1 species